AAGGUUUGGAGAAGAUGGACGAAAACACUUCUCUUGCAGCUGCCGUAGUUCUCUGUGCUAUGAGCUUAUUA